rnacentral:lncRNA from 1 species
GUCUUUAAACCAGUGGUGUCCCAAACAACAGUAGACUCUUAGUUAACCAGCACCCAUGGAAAUGGGUAGAUACCAGCUAAAUGUAGUCUCUGGUUGCUUUAGAGCAGGCAUGGAGCAAACUUCAGCCCUCCAUGGGUUUUGGACUUCAACUCCCACAAUUCCUAACAGCCUCAGGCCCUUUUCUUGUUUCCUUCAGCCUGAGGCCAUUAGGAAUUGGGAAAUAAUGAAUAUGGAUAAGUUAACAUAUUUAUUAAAAAAAAACAACCAAGGCAGACCGAAAAAACAGACAGACUGGGAAAUGGUUAAAAACUAUGUGAAAGAAGGGGAAUUUAAGGUGAUUAUUUAACCAAAUUGAGUUAGAGGAUAAGGUCUGCAAAGCAACCGGGUAUGUAAAUAAUAGGCAAUAUGUAAAAUAGAGACACUAGAUAGAGAUGGUUGAGAAAAAGAUUGUAAAACUUCUUUCAUACAAGAUACUGUGUAAAAGAUGGAAGUCAAUUUUAUGUUCUUUCUGUAUUAUUAUUGUUGUUGUUGUUGUUUUUCUUUUCCUUUUCUUACCCCCUCUUCCUUCCUUUCCUGUCACGGAAAUUUUGUAAAAGUUUGUUUUUGUUUUUGGUUUUUUGGUGUUUUUUUUCUUUUCUCUUUCCUUUUGUCAAAUUUUGGUCAUAUUUUAUUUUUAAGUUGAAAAACACUAAUAAAAAUUGAAUUUGAAAAAAAAAAAGGAAUUGUGGGAGUUGAAGUCCAAAACACCUGGAGGGCUGAAGUUUGCCCAUGCCUGAUCUACAGUGAAGUAUUAAAGCAAUUUAACAACCCUUUAACUACCAUGACUCAAUGCUGAUUGUAAAACAGGUGCAGCCCCAAUACCCAUAGAAACACCAUCUAUUUUUAAUUUCAUUGCUCUCUUUUUUCUUUUUUUUUACAGUACAGGAGAUAAAAAGACUUACUAGAUGUAAAAGAAGGCCUGGGUUGUGCCCCUUUAAUCAUUGGCUAACAGGAAGGGAAUCUUUUCUCUUCUCUUCAUAAACCUGCUGAAGUUUCUUUUCUAUACAGCUAUUAAAAGUGCAUGUCCCUUACAACCUUCCUUCACAUCCAGAGCAGGGACAAGUGAAAGAUGGACAUGUGCAGAAAUUAAUUUAAAUUGGCUUCCCAUGUUGCUUAUUGGGAUUAAAGAUGAGUCCUAGCCUGACAUGACAUGGCUGAAAACCUUCAACCAGAGUUUUAAGAAAGAGAAGAUCAAACAACACGAGGAGCUACAAGAGGAAAGAAACAGGUGUUACUGGGGCAGGAGGAAGGUGAAAUGCCAAAGGUUGUCCAAAUUUUUCAAAACACUGAAAAGGAUCUCUGAAAGAAAUAAGGCCAUUGUGAAGUCUACUGUACAAAAUUUGAACAGUGUGGAAUGGAAGCAAAUGCAUCAUACAAAACCUUUUAAGGAUUGAGUUGGUGGGCAGGGACUUGUUCUUUUCAGGUGUAAUCAAAUCCGUAAUAUUUUUUAAUUUUUUGUGUUGUUUUCAAUAUUCAUAACUUGUUUUCCUGUUAAAUUAUCCACAUAGAGUAAGUGCUAGUAAGAGAUAUAUAAUAUAAAUAAUAUAAAAAUGCUAUCAGUCAAAUUAAAUAUUCGCUAUAACUAUUGCAGAAUUCUUCCAGAAAGAAAGAGUUUACAGUUAAUAACCAUGAGACUGGGGUUUUGCAGUUAAUUACUUCUGCCUUUUCCAAGUUCACAGAUACUACUUCUACAUUCACUUGAAAUAAUAAUAAUAAUAAUUUAUGCACUAAAGAACUGGUGGGAUCACAAACCUGCAAAAGUAUUGGAAAAUGAACAUGCAAAGAUACUGUGGGACUUCCGAAGCCAGACUGACAAAGUUCUGGAACACAACACACCAGACUUCACAAUUGUGGAAAAGAAAAAGGUUUGGAUCAUUGAUGUCGCCAUCCCAGGUGACAGUCGCAUUGACGAAAAACAACAGGAAAAACUCAGCCGCUAUCAGGACCUCAAGAUUGAACGUCAAAGACUCUGGCAGAAACCAGUGCAGGUGGUCCCGGUGGUGAUCGGCACAUUGGGUGCCAUGCCAAAAGAUCUCAGCCGGCAUUUGGAAACAACAGACAUUGACAAAAUCACGAUCUGCCAACUGCAAAAGGCCACCCUACUGGGAUCUGCGCGCAUCAUCCAAAAAUACAUCACACAGUCCUAGACACUUGGGAAGUGUUCGACUUGUGAUUUUGUGAUACGAAAUCCAGCAUAUCUAUCCUGUUUGCUGUGUCAUAAAAUAAUAAUAAUAAUAAUAAUAAUAAUAAUAAUAAUAAUAAUAAUAAUAGAUGCAUUCUAAAAUUUUAAACCUUUCCUAUUUUGUGUAUUCUGCAAGAGGGAGGUGUACUUUUGAAUGACAAACUUUGCCUAUUAUUAUUACAGUAGAGUCUCACUUAUCCAACAUAAAUGGGCUGCCAGAAUGUUGGAUAAGUGAAUAUGUUGGAUAAUAAGGAGGGAUUAAGGAAAAGCCUAUUAAACAUCCAAUUACAUCAUGAUUUUACAAAUUAAGCACGAAAACAUCAUGAUUGACAAAAAAUUUGACAGAAAAAGCAGUUCAAUCCACAGCAGUGUUAUGUAGAAAUUACUGUAUUUACGAAUUUAGCACGAAAACAUCACAAUGUAUUGAAAAUAUUGACUACAAAAACAUUGACUACUAAAAGGCAGAUUGCGUUGGAUAAUCCAGAACGUUGGAUAAGUGAAUGUUGGAUAAAUGAGACUCUGCUGUAUUACUAUAUGUAUUUAUUUUUAUCGUGUCAGAAGCAACUUGAGAACAUACUGCAAGUUGCUUCUGGUGUGAGAGAAUUGGCUGUCUACAGAGACGUUGCCCGGGGAAGCCCGGAUGUGUUACCAUCCUGGUUGGAGGCUUCUCUCAUGUCCUGGCAAGGUAGAGUUUAUUUAUAUUUAUGUAUAACCUGCUUUAUCUCCCCAAAGGGGAUUCAAAGCGGCUGAAAGAAGAUGCAUGACCUGGAAGUUUUGCAAAACACAUGUGCAAACAGAAAGGAAACUGUUAAUAAGGGAAACCCUUAUCACUGUGUGAAAUUACCUGUGAAGUUACACAAUUACUUGAAUUAAUAAAAUUAAAAAGGAAGUGAAUGGGGCAAAAAUGGAAAGUUAUGGCUUUGCAGCCAGAGGUCAGUUGAAACGUCAGCAGCUCAGGAACAGGAAAGUGCAGAGGAAAAAAGGAUCACACUAUCAGAUGUUAUUGUCCCUACUCUAGCUUCAAGAGGGAUUUUCAAUUACUGCACAACUGAAAACACUUUGAACAUCAAUUCAGUAUGGUUUCAACGUCCUACAAAUAUUUGUAAAAAGUACUGCUUCAACAUGAGUUGCAGUAAGUUUGAAGUGAUAUUGUGGAAUUGUAACCACUUCUGUUCAUGGCCAGAGAGCUUCAAACGCUACAAGCCUUGUGUGAUAAUGCCCUUGGUUUUAUCAUGGGCUUUUAUGCAUCACAAUCUACUUUGUGGGAUGCGUGGCAUAUAACCUUACCUACAUAUGCACAUAGUUGGAAAUUAAAUCAGAGUAAAAAUGUAUGGAGAAAGUAUUGACAGUACUUUCUGCAGAAUGGUUUUCUUGAAAAGAAUUUUUCAGAAGGGAUUUGCUAUUGCCUUCCUUUCAGGAUGGAAGACCGAUUUGAGUUUCCAUUAAUGAGUGGGGAUUCACACUCUGGAUUUCCAGAACUCUAGUCCAACACUCAAACUGCUACACCAUAGUGGCUCUCAAACAGAGAUCGAACAGAUAAUCGCACAAAAUCUUCAUCUGUGAAUCUGUUACCAAUCUUGUAAUUUCAGUGAAACUAGCAGCCUGAUUUCAUGCAUUUUGCUCAGUUACUCAGGUGAUUCACAAAAUGCAGAUGUGAAAAGAAACUUCAAGAGAGAAAGGAAUUUAAUGCCAGUGCUAAUGCUUUUUGCUUUUGCUUUUUGGUGUGUUUCUUUGCCAAGUACUUUUGCAUUUUUAUAUCACCAUUUGUUCAGAUUUUUUUUUAUAUAUAUAUAAAUAUGGACACUUUAGUUUUGUUUUUGGUUAUUGGUUUUUUUUCUCUCUCUCACUUUUUGAUCCUUUUUUAAUCUCAGUUUUCCUACUUUCUAUACAAUCAAAUGUUCUCACUUUUUCGAUGUUAAUUUACUCUAUCUUAUAAGGUAAAACUUCAAUUAAAAAAAAGAAAAAAAAGAGAGAAAGGAAUUGACUGAGGGAGAGGAAGCAAAAGAAAGUUCUAGUUCCCUAGCUAGUAAGGUUCUUAUAAAUAACUCCACCAAUUUAACCAUUGAUAAUCCAGCUUCAUCCAGGCCUGGCAUAAAUGUUGCUAAUAUUAAAACUUCCCGGACAAAUCCUGUCUCUUAUGUAUAUUUCCGUGUGAGCACAACAUAUACAUGCAUGCACAUAUCAUGCACACAAAUACCAUCCAUCUGUGUACACAAUAUUGGCAGGAAAUAUAUUCCCAUCUCAUACACUUAGUCUGUCAAAAUAAGGACCACUUCACUAGUUUAUUUUUAAGCUGCUUUCUCAUAAAUACCGUAUUGGAAGCUCCAAUAUAUCCAUUCCAAAGUCAUAUGUUUUGCAAGGCAUAUGAGCUGUUCCUAAAAUCCAAAAUAAGUUACGAUGAAAAGAGCGGCUUCACAAAACAGGAAAAAAAAUAAGUCAAAUUGAAAGUCAGGGGAUAAUAUUUAGAUGGAACAGGAUCAUCGCCCUGGGCCUAGUUUCCAUGGUGUCAAAGUCUUAGCUAAAU